CGCUGGCGGCGUGCUUAAUACAUGCAAGUCAACUUGACUCUAGAUAGCAAUAUCGAAAAGUAGGGUGGCGCACGGGUGCGUAACGCGUAGGUAAUCUGCCCUGAGGUCUGACAUAACCCGUCGAAAGGCGGGCUAACAUCAGAUGAUAUAUAGUCACGACAUCGUGGAAAUAUCAAAUCUUCGGAGCCUUGGGAUGAGCCUGCGUCUGAUUAGGUAGUUGGCGGAGUAAUAGCCCACCAAGCCUACGAUCAGUAGCUGGUCUGAGAGGAUGAUCAGCCACACUGGAACUGAGACACGGUCCAGACUCCUACGGGAGGCAGCAGUAAGGAAUAUUGCUCAAUGGGGGAAACCCUGAAGCAGCAACGCCGCGUGAAGGAUGAAAUACUUUGUAUGUAAACUUCUGUAAGAUGGGAAAAAUAUUCUCCUCGGGAGAAUUGAUUGUACCAUCAGAGUAAGCCCCGGCUAACUACGUG
rnacentral:rRNA from 1 species